GACACUGGUAGUCAGCGCUCCUGGUUCCCAGGAUGGGGUUCAAAUCCCUACGGUGUC
rnacentral:sRNA from 1 species